GACGAACGCUGGCGGCGUGCUUAACACAUGCAAGUCGAGCGGAGCGGCGAACGGGUGAGUAACGCGUGAGUAACUGCCCCCCUCUCUGGGCUAACAGUUGGAAACGGCUGCUAAUACCGGAUAGUGGGGGAUGACUCGCGUCCGAUCUGCUUGUUGGUGGGGUAGUGGCCUACCAAGGCGACGACGGGUGGCCGGCCUGCGAGGGCCACCGGCCACAUUGGGCUAAGAUACGGCCCAAAGUACAACGGGAGGCAGCAGUGGCGAAUAUUGCACAAUGGGGGAAACCCUGAUGCAGCAACGCCGCGUGCGGGAGGACGGCCUUCGGGUUGUAAACCGAUUUCAGCCAUGACGCGGUAGUGGCAGAAGAAGCACCGGCUAACUACGUGCCAGCAGCCGCGGUAAUAC
rnacentral:rRNA from 1 species